CAUAUGCUUGUCUCAAAGAUUAAGCCAUGCAUGUCUUAGAUCACACCUAAAUACGGUGAAUCCGCGAAUGGCUCAUUAAAUCAGCUAUUGUUUCUUAGAUCUUACGCACAGUUACAUGGAUAACUGCAGUAAUUCUGGAGCUAAUACAUGCCAAUUAUGCUUCGGCGUCAAAACCGAGGCGGGUUUAUUAGAUCAAAGCCAAUCGGUCCUGCAAGGGGCUGUCGGGUUUGGUGACUCUGGAUAACUUUACCUAAUCGCAUGACCUUGUGUCGGCGAUGUAUCUUCCAAGUAUCUGACCUAUCAUCUGUCGAUGGUGAGUGAUUUGCUCACCAUGGAGAUAACGGGUAACGGGGAAUCUGUGUUCGAUUCCGGAGAGGGAGCCUUAGAAACGGCUACCACAUCUAAGGAAGGCAGCAGGCGCGCAAAUUACCCACUCUCAGCGAGAGGAGGUAGUGACGAAAAAUAACGAUGCAAAUCUCAUUAUGAGGCUUUGCAAUUGGAAUGAGUACAAUUUAAAUCCUUUAACGAGGAUCCAUUGGAGGGCAAGUCUGGUGCCAGCAGCCGCGGUAAUUCCAGCUCCAAUAGCGUAUAUUGAAGUUGUUGCAGUUAAAAAGCUCGUAGUUGGAUCUGAGGUGGGAGUCAUUGGUUCAGCCUUGUGCUGCGACUGUAUGCGCUCUGCCUUACACAGUCAUUAGACGCCUUGUGGUGCUCUUUAUUGAGUGCUGCAGGGUGCAUGGCACGUUUACUUUGAAAAAAUUAAAGUGCUCAAAGCAGGCCUUUGUACUUGUAUACUCUUGCAUGGAAUAAUGGAAUAGGACUUUGGUUCUAUUUUGUUGGUUUUCGGAACCAUUGUAAUGAUUAAAAGGGACUGCCGGGGGCAUGUGUAUGGUGGCGUUAGAGGUGAAAUUCUUGGAUCGUCGCCAGACAGCCUACUGCGAAAGCAUUUGCCAAGAAUGUCUUCAUUAAUCAAGAACGAAAGUCAGAGGUUCGAAGACGAUCAGAUACCGUCCUAGUUCUGACCAUAAACGUUGCCGACCAACAAUCAGUGGAGGUUAUCAUUAUUGACCCCACUGGCUGUCCCCGGGAAACCUUGAGUAAGGUUCUGGGGGGAAUAUGGUCGCAAGGCCGAAACUUAAAGGAAUUGACGGAAGGGCACCACCAGGGGUGGAGCCUGCGGCUUAAUUUGACUCAACACGGGGAAACUCACCCGGCCCGGACACUGUAAGGAUGGACAGAUUAAAAGCUCUUUCUUGAUUCAGUGGGUGGUGGUGCAUGGCCGUUCUUAGUUGGUGGAGUGAUUUGUCUGGUUAAUUCCGAUAACGAACGAGACUCUGACCUGCUAAAUAGUACAUUUGUAUUGGCACAUUUCGGUGUGUUCGAGUGAAUGCUGACUUCUUAGAGGGAUUCGCAGUAUUUAAACUGCAAGAAAUAGAGCAAUAACAGGUCUGUGAUGCCCUUAGAUGUCCGGGGCCGCACGCGCGCUACAAUGACAGUUCCAAAGAGUUUUAAAACCUGGUCCGAAAGGAUUGGGAAAUCUUUGAAUAGCUGUCACCUCAGGGAUUGGGGUUUGUAACUAUCCCCCAUGAACGAGGAAUUCCCAGUAGGCACAAGUCAUCAGCUUGUGCCGAUUACGUCCCUGCCCUUUGUACACACCGCCCGUCGCUACUACCGAUUGAAUGGUUUAGUGAGGUCUUCGGAUUGCGGUUGAGGCGGUGGCAACACUGCUCCGAUUGUGAGAAGAUGAUCGAACUUGAUCAUUUAGAGGAAGUAAAAGUCGUAACAAGGUUCCCGUA
rnacentral:rRNA from 1 species